GAUGAACGCUGGCGGCGUGCCUAAUACAUGCAAGUCGAGCGAACGGACGAGAAGCUUGCUUCUCUGAUGUUAGCGGCGGACGGGUGAGUAACACGUGGAUAACCUACCUAUAAGACUGGGAUAACUUCGGGAAACCGGAGCUAAUACCGGAUAAUAUUUUGAACCGCAUGGUUCAAAAGUGAAAGACGGUCUUGCUGUCACUUAUAGAUGGAUCCGCGCUGCAUUAGCUAGUUGGUAAGGUAACGGCUUACCAAGGCAACGAUGCAUAGCCGAGCUGAGAGGGUGAUCGGCCACACUGGAACUGAGACACGGUCCAGACUCCUACGGGAGGCAGCAGUAGGGAAUCUUCCGCAAUGGGCGAAAGCCUGACGGAGCAACGCCGCGUGAGUGAUGAAGGUCUUCGGAUCGUAAAACUCUGUUAUUAGGGAAGAACAUAUGUGUAAGUAACUGUGCACAUCUUGACGGUACCUAAUCAGAAAGCCACGGCUAACUACGUG
rnacentral:rRNA from 1 species